rnacentral:rRNA from 1 species
CCUACGGGAGGCAGCAGUGGGGAAUAUUGCGCAAUGGGCGAAAGCCUGACGCAGCGACGCCGCGUGAGGGAUGAAGGUCUUCGGAUCGUAAAACUCUGUCAGCAGGGAAGAACGGUCACGGUGCUAAGCAGCAGUGAAUUGACGGUACCGGCAAAGGAAGCACCGGCUAACGCCGUGCCAGCAGCCGCGGUAAGACGGAGGGUGCGAGCGUUCAUCGGAAUUACUGGGCGUAAAGCGCUCGGAGGCGGUAUGUCAAGUCAAGGGUGAAAUCCCCGCGCUCAACGUGGGAACUGCCUUUGAAACUGGCAACCUGGAGUGUGUGAGAGGAUAGUGGAAUUCCAGGUGUAGGCG